rnacentral:rRNA from 1 species
CCUACGGGUGGCAGCAGUGAGGAAUAAUGGUCAAUGGACGAGAGUCUGAACCAGCCAAGUAGCGUGAAGGAUGACUGCCCUAUGGGUUGUAAACUUCUUUUAUAUGGGAAUAAAAUGUUCCACGUGUGGGAUUUUGUAUGUACCAUAUGAAUAAGGAUCGGCUAACUCCGUGCCAGCAGCCGCGGUAAUACGGAGGAUCCGAGCGUUAUCCGGAUUUAUUGGGUUUAAAGGGAGCGUAGGUGGAUUGUUAAGUCAGUUGUGAAAGUUUGCGGCUCAACCGUAAAAUUGCAGUUGAAACUGGCAGUCUUGAGUACAGUAGAGGUGGGCGGAAUUCGUGGUGUAGCGGUGAAAUGCUUAGAUAUCACGAAGAACACCGAUUGCGAAGGCAGUUCACUGGACUGCAACUGACACUGAGGCUCGAAAGUGUGGGUAUCAAACAGGAUUAGAUACCCUUGUAGUC